rnacentral:rRNA from 1 species
UACGGAGGGUGCAAGCGUUAUCCGGAUUCACUGGGUUUAAAGGGUGCGUAGGAGGGCAGGUAAGUCAGUGGUGAAAUCUCCGAGCUUAACUUGGAAACUGCCGUUGAUACUAUCUGCCUUGAAUAUUGUGGAGGUGAGCGGAAUAUGUCAUGUAGCGGUGAAAUGCUUAGAUAUGACAUAGAACACCAAUUGCGGAGGCAGCUCGCUACACAUAUAUUGACUCUGAGGCACGAAAGCGUGGGGAUCAAACAGG